UACGUAGGGGGCUAGCGUUGGUCCGGAUUUAUUGGGCGUAAAGAGCGUGUAGGCGGCCAGGUAGGUCUGGUGUGAAAACUCGAGGCUUAACCUCGAGAUGUCAUCGGAAACCAUCUGGCUAGAGUCCGGAAGAGGAGAGUGGAAUUCCUGGUGUAGCGGUGAAAUGCGCAGAUAUCAGGAAGAACACCAAUGGCGAAAGCAGCUCUCUGGGACGGUACUGACGCUGAGACGCGAAAGCGUGGGGAGCGAACAGG
rnacentral:rRNA from 1 species